CUCGAAGCGCCUCGGCAUCCCACAAGUCCUCGGGCUGACUCCGCUCAUUAAGCGGCAGCGACACGGCGAGCAGGCAGCAGACAUGUCAGACAAGAAACAGACCGUAGACCUGGGCUUGUUAGAGGAGGACGACGAGUUUGAGGAAUUCCCAGCCGAGGACUGGACCGGGCUGGAUGAAGAUGAGGAUGCCCAUGUGUGGGAAGACAACUGGGAUGACGACAAUGUAGAGGAUGACUUCUCAAAUCAGCUCAGAGCGGAGCUGGAAAAACAUGGUUACAAGAUGGAGACGUCAUAGCAGCUGACAAGGCUCCUCACUGCUUGUUGAUGUUGGAUACGGACAUUCAUGUUUAAAUAUUAUUGGCUGGCCACACAUGGAGGAGAGAGAAUACAGGAUGCUAAUUUCUUUGUUUUUUUUAUGAGAAAUAUUGUCACAAGUAAAGUUUUUGGUGAAAAUAGUUGCUGAGUGUUUUCAUUGACCCGCUGCAUCAGUUUAAAUAAUGCAUCUGCUGUUAGUUUAGAUAAUGCAGUUAAACGACAAUAAAGUUGCUGCACUGUGA